UUUGUUUUACCUGCGGAAAUUGUUACCAUUUUUUAGCUGAAAAUGGUAACUAUUUCCGCACGUAAUACAGA
rnacentral:miRNA from 1 species